rnacentral:lncRNA from 1 species
CUCUACAUAGAGUUAUUACAAUCCGGAAAUUGGUUUGAUUCAAGGUCAUCAAUGAACAAAUCGGCCAUUGAUGAACCUUCAAGUCCUUACUCCUUACUUCAUUCAAUGAGUAAUUUCCAGAUCUCCUCCAGAUCUGCACCGAAUGAAGAUAAAAUGCAUAAUUCACAACAACCUGGGAUUGGAAGUUUAAUUCAGAGUUUGAAUCCUACUCAAUAUCUACAAUUGAUGUCGAUAUUGUCCACUCAUCUGGCAUCAAGCUCAAACACAGCAGCUUCUGUUUAUCAGGACAACAAAAUUACAUCAUAUAAUGCAGGUAUAUGCCAUUUCAUAUAUGUUAAUCCAGUCUUGUAUUCCAAAGAAAUUUGGAUAGUGAAUUCGGAAGUGAUAGAGGUCCCAAUCAAAAUGGUAAUUUAUGACAAAGAAUAAUUCUCUUAGGGUGAGAACUGAACCACAAUUUAAAUGAAAUUUUUAUUGAUGAUGUUUUAAUGUCAGCUACAUGAGUUUAAAUAGGCUGGUUGAGGGCAACAGACUCCUAAUCUCAAGGCCCACGUACAGCAUAAUCGAAACUAACAGCUAUCAACUUCAACAAACUUAUUCUAACUGAAAAACAAAUAUAAACGUUGCAACUUUUAUUGGAUCAGAUUUCCUUGGACUGAGUCUUGGAUUUCCACGUCGUGCAUGUAGUUGUUUCGGCCUUGAACUCACAUUUUUACGUAGUUGCAUGAAACCCAGUAUGUGCUUGCAUGGCCAACCUUUGCAUGCAUGGCCACCCUUUCCCACGUACCUGCAUGCAUGCAAAGCUUCAUCCAUCUUAGGCCAAAAAAUCCUGGAACCUAGGAUUCUUCCUAGGGGCUCUACUGGACCUUCUUGGUUCAUCAAUGCUCGGCCGAUCAAGUUGAUGCUUGUCCCCAAGAUCAUCUACCGCCGGAAAUUGCUCCUUCAGCAUCUCUGUCCGUUCCCAGGUGGCUUCUUCUGCAGGCAAGCGUUUCCAGUGUACCAAGCUUUCUUCAACAAACUUAUUACCAACUUUGAUCCAACGAGAUUCCAUAAUUCGUUCAGGUUCAAGCACCGGCGUUCCCUCAUUAGUAACUGGAGGUAACUCAGAACAUAGUUGACUAGGGUCUCCAACAUAUUUCUUCAACAAGGACACAUGGAAUACGGGAUGUAUGCGUGAAUUCUCUGGAAGUUGUAGUUUAUAUGCCACCUUGCCGAUGCGUUGAUUAACAAGAUAUGGCCCAAAGAACCGACUAGACAGCUUUUGGUGCGCUCGUUUGAAUGUGGUACUCUGGCGGUAAGGUUGGAGCUUCAAUAAUACCAUGUCACCCACCUGGAACUCGACGUCUCGCCUCUGCAAAUCAGCAGCCUGUUUCAUUCGAUUGAUAGCCACGCCGAGGUUAUCCUUAAGUUGAUGUAGUAGCUCAUCUCGUGUAAGAAGACUUUUAUCCACCUCAUUAACAGGUGAUAAUCCUUCCUGAUAAUUUGGGAUGGUAGGUGGCAGACGACCGUAGAGAGCUUGAAAGGGUGACAUCCCUGUAGAGUUAUGAUAGGUGGUAUUGUACCAAUAUUCGGCCCAUGGCAAGAAUUCUACCCACCUUUUUGGCCAUUGAUGAACAAAGCUACGCAAGUAUUGCUCCAAACACCGAUUAACCACCUCGGACUGACCAUCCGUUUGCGGAUGAUAAGCAGAACUUAGUUUGAGCUUAGUACCAGACAUAGAGAAGAACUCCUGCCAAAACUUACUGAUAAAAAUGGGGUCACGGUCACUAAUGAUCGAUCUAGGCAUUCCAUGUAACUUGACCACACCUUCUACAAAUUUUUCAGCUACCACUUUGGAAGUGAAGGGAUGGGUAAGGGCCAUAAAGUGGGCGUACUUACUCAACCUAUCUACCACCACUAAUACCGUAUCCUUUCCAGAAGAAGUUGGUAAGCCUUCAAUAAAAUCAAGCGUAAUGUCUUCCCAUACUUGACAUGGGAUAGGUAGAGGCUGUAGAAGGCCUGCUGGAGAUAGUGUUUGUGACUUUGUUCUUUGGCAUGUCUCACAGGCAGCAACAAAAGCUUGAAUAUCCUUAUACAUAGUAGGCCAAUAAAAUUGCUGGGCGAGCCUCUUAUAUGUCCUAAGAAUCCCCGAGUGGCCCGCAGUCUUGCUAGCAUGGAACUCUUCUAGUAGGCUAUUCCUAAUGUCAUGAACCCGAGGCACCACAAUUCUAUUUUUGAAGAAUAAUAAUCCAUUUCUCCAUUGGUAUGAACCUCCCGGAUUUUUCUUAGCAACAAGGCUCACUUGCUUAAUGUAAUCAUCUUCUGCCAGAGCCCUUUUUAUAUCUUCCCAUAAUUGAAUUUGAGGCACAAAUAUAGUAUGGAGUAUUGGACUAUCAGGCCUUCGAGAAAGUGCAUCUGCCACAGAAUUUUCACGGCCUGGCUUAUACAUGAUCUCAUACUCAUAGCCAAGCAAUUUUGCCACCCACUUUUGUUGUUCUGGUGUAGCAACCCGCUGCUCCAAAAAAUAUUUGAGGCUGCGUUGAUCCGUAUGGAUGAAGAAUUUUUUUCCCAACAAGUAGGGUCGCCAAAUACGUAUAGCUUCGACGAUGGCUAGCAUUUCCUUAGCAUAGAUGGACCAUGAUCUUUUUGUCACCCCUAAGGCCCGACUCAUGUAUGCGAUGGGUCGCCCUUGCUGGGUUAAUACUGCUCCUAUCCCAUCUUUGGAAGCGUCAAUUUCAAUGGUGAAUGAUUCAUUGAAAUUCGGCAUGGCUAAUGUAGGCGUGGAGGUCAUGGCUUCUUUGAGUGCAAGAAAAGCUGCUUCUGCGUCUUCUCCCCAUCCAAAUUGUCCCUUUUUUAAAAGAUUUGUGAGAGGCCGAGCUAAUAUCCCAUAAUUCUUUACGAACUUUCUGUAAUAUCCUGUUAAUCCUAGAAAACCUCGCAACUCCGAAAUAUUUGUGGGUUGUGGCCAUGCUAACAUAGCUGAAAUUUUGGACUUGUCCACUUUUACCCCUUGGUGGGUUACAACAUGCCCCAAGUAUUCAAGCUCCUGCUGGCCAAAGGCACAUUUUUCUGCCUUAACAUAGAAUUGCUGCUGUCUAAGGAUUUCCAAGGCCUUUCCCACAUGAAUCAAAUGUGCUUCCCACGAUGGACUAUAAAUAAGUAUAUCGUCAAAAAAUACCAAGAUAUAUUUUCGAAGAUAUGGGCAAAAAAUCGAAUUCAUUAUGGCUUGGAAGGUUGAUGGAGCAUUGCAUAAACCGAGGGGCAUUACCAAAUACUCAUAAUGGCCAUUAUGGGUUCGAAAAGCCGUUUUAGAGACAUCUUGAGGGUAAACCCUUACUUGGUGGUAUCCCGCUCUAAGAUCAAGCUUUGUAAAAUAAGCGGCUCCAUGUAAUUCAUCAAGCAUGUCCUCCACCGUUGGGAUUGGGAAGCGAUCCUUGAUGGUCACGACAUUAAGCCCGCGAUAAUCGGUGCAAAAUCGCCAACUUCCGUCCUUCUUCUUAACCAAGAGUACUGGUGAUGAGAAAGGGCUUGUGCUUGGCCUUAUAAUUCCUUGGUCAAGCAUGUCUUGCACUUGCCUCUCGAUCUCCGCUUUUUGGAAAUAUGCAUAUCGAUAUGGUCGAAUAUUCACCGGUUCAGUACCUUCCUUGAGUGGGAUACAGUGGUCCACCUCUCUUACUGGUGGUAAUUCGGUGGGUUCCUUAAAGACUUCAGCGUAUUGUUCCAAGAGUUUCUCCAUGUCAGGAUGUGUGUUCUUUCCAUCUCCAGAAGUCAUUGAUUGUAGACACAUAGCAAACAAUGGUUGUCCUUGAUGCACUUCUCGAUUUAUUUCUUUAAAGGGGAUUGCUUUUAUAGGUGGUUGAUUAAUGCCAUGCAACUUUCGGGUUUCGUUUUCCCAUUGGAAUUCCAUCGUUAAAGUUUUCCAAUUGCAAACGAUCGAACCGAGCAUUUCAAGCCAUUGUACUCCAAGCACUACAUCAAGACCAACAAUCGGGACUGCAUAAAAUGUGAGCAAAAAGGGAACACCUUGCAAAUCCACAGGCACUUUCUCAAAUCUGCCUUGACACAUCAGCUUCUCACCAUUAGCCACACGGACAGUCAUUGGAGCAGUUGGAACUACCGGCAAAUGGAGCAGGUCUGUAAUGCGAUGAUUAAUAAAAUUGUGGGUUGACCCACUAUCAAUCAGUACACUAACGUGUUGAGGUCCAAUUUUUGCCGUUAGCCUCAUGGUUUUGGGUGCCGUCCACCCGGCUAGUGCAUGUAGCGUGAUUUCGGGCUCAAUCUGACUUUCAUUAUCCCCAUUAUCCACGUGCUCAUUCAUGCCAUCCUCAAUGUGGUCAUCAAUAGCAUGACCUUCCAGUAAAAGGAGUUUUGGCCCUUGGCAACGGUGGCCCGCGGUGAAGCGCUCAUUGCAAUGGAAAGAUAGGCCUUGCGCACGCCUCUUCUGCAUUUCAUCCCAAGUCAAACGGCGUAGAGAAGCUGUGGGUGCCGCCGCUGGGCUUGCCCGAGUUGGUUGAGGCAAAGUCUGUAGAGGUCGUGAUAGAGGUGGUUGCCGCAUGAACCUCCGUUGGCGUGCAAGUUGGUCAUCCUUCAUUUUAGCCAAGCUGAAUGCGUCUUUGAGUGUCUGUGGUUUAAACAUCCUAAUGCCAUCAGCAAUUUCAGCCUUCAAUCCUCCCAUGAAUGUUCCUACGAGUGCCUUUUGAGUCCAUCCCCGAACUCGAUUGCCUAACCUUUCUAAUUCACGCUGAUAGUCCCUUAAAGAGCCGAUUUGUUUGACCCGCGAAAGGGCUUCAUCAAAAUCUUCACAUUCUGGUGGUCCAAAGCGUGCCCAUAACUCGUCUUCGAAGGUUUCCCAUGAUAAUGCCCGCCCUUCAUCUCGAUAUGUCCUCCGAAGCCACUGCCACCAUUGGUUGGCCUCGCCUUCCAGGUGAAAAGAUGCCCAUGACACCUUCUGAGUUUCUGGGAUAGUUUGGAAUUCAAAGAAUUGGUUCACACGAUUGAACCACUCCGUAGGGUCUUCCCCACUAAACCGGGGAAACUCUAAUUUCGCCAUUUUUGUGGAACACACCAGUCGGCCACCAUCAGUGCCUUCCAUAUUGUCGUCACGGUGGUUUCGAAAAUUCUCCCCUCGCUCACUGUUGCGGGAAGUAUUGGCGGAGUCUCCCUUGAAUGAACGAAGCAUCUCCUCCAAAUGAUGGAGCUUGUCUGCCAUUCCUAGUUCCAUACGAUUCAUGCCUUCCUGAAGGCCACUGAGACUUGCCUCCAGGUGUUCAAUCCGUUCUUUGUUGGUGGCCAUUCCCCCGCUCUGAUACCACUUGAUAGAGGUCCCAAUCAAAACGGUAAUUUAUGACAAAGAAUAAUUCUCUUAGGGUGAGAACUGAACCAUAAUUUAAAUGAAAUUUUUAUUGAUGAUGUUUUAAUGUCAGCUACAUGAGUUUAAAUAGGCUGGUUGAGGGCAACAGACUCCUAAUCUCAAGGCCCACGUACAGCAUAAUCGAAACUAACAGCUAUCAACUUCAACAAACUUAUUCUAACUGAAAAACAAAUAUAAACGUUGCAACUUUUAUUGGAUCAGAUUUCCUUGGACUGAGUCUUGGAUUUCCACGUCGUGCAUGUAGUUGUUUCGGCCUUGAACUCACAUUUUUACGUAGUUGCAUGAAACCCAGUAUGUGCUUGCAUGGCCAACCUUUGCAUGCAUGGCCACCCUUUCCCACGUACCUGCAUGCAUGCAAAGCUUCAUCCAUCUUAGGCCAAAAAAUCCUGGAACCUAGGAUUCUUCCUAGGGGCUCUACUGGACCUUCUUGGUUCAUCAGGAAGCCACUAAGCAUGUGUGCUUUAUUGCUGCUUCAUUCAUGAACAUGAGGAUUAUUGAUGGUUCAAAUGUGACUUUACCCAAUCACACACAAAUUCUAGUUAAAUUGUGUGGGAAUAUCAGGCUNNNNNNNNNNNNNNNNNNNNNNNNNNNNNNNNNNNNNNNNNNNNNNNNNNNNNNNNNNNNNNNNNNNNNCUUCCUUGAAUGAACGAAGCAUCUCCUCCAAAUGAUGGAGCUUGUCUGCCAUUCCUAGUUUCAUGCGAUUCAUGCCUUCCUGAAGGCCACUGAGACUUGCCUCCAGUGGUUCAAUCCGUUCCUUGUUGGUGGCCAUUCCCCCGCUCUAAUACCACUUGAUAGAGGUCCCAAUCAAAAUGGUAAUUUAUAACAAAGAAUAAUUCUCUUAGGGUGAGAACUGAACCACAAUUUAAAUGAAAUUUUUAUUGAUGAUGUUUUAAUGUCAGCUACAUGAGUUUAAAUAGGCUGGUUGAGGGCAACAGACUCCUAAUCUUAAGGCCCACGUACAGCAAAAUCAAAACUAACAGCUAUCAACUUCAACAAACUUAUUCUAACUGAAAAACAAAUAUAAACGUUGCAACUCUUACUGGAUCAGAUUUCCUUGGACCGAGUCUUGGAUUUCCACAUUUUACAUGUAGUUGUUUCGGCCUUGAACUCAAAUUUUUACGUAGUUGCAUGAAACCCAGUAUGUGCUUGCAUGGCCAACCUUUGCAUGCAUGGCCACCCUUUCCCACGUACCUGCAUGCAUGCAAAGCUUCAUCCAUCUUAGGCCAAAAAAUCCUGGAACCUAGGAUUCUUCCUAGGGGCUCUACUGGACCUUCUUGGUUCAUCAGGAAGCCACUAAGCAUGUGUGCUUUAUUGCUGCUUCAUUCAUGAACAUGAGGAUUAUUGAUGGUUCAAAUGUGACUUUACCCAAUCACACACAAAUUCUAGUUAAAUUGUGUGGGAAUAUCAGGCUGAGUCCAAAUAUUUUGCUGCAUGAUGUGUUAUUUGUACCAAAAUUCCAGCUGAACUUACUGUCAGUUAGUCCAUUAACUGCUGAAUCACAAGUUUCAUCAAGUUUCUCUCAUGAUAGCUUCAUUAUUCAAGAUGCCAAAACCAAGAAGAUGAUUGGUAGGGGUGGUCAAAUGCAAAAUUUGUAUGUUCUAGAUACCAGAAUUCUGAAUUCCAUUUCUAACGUAUUUGUUAAUACUGUGUCUAUCCAUGUAUGGCACAACAGACUUAGGCAUCUUUCAUUCAAAAAGGCUAGACUGGUUGAAGGAACAAUUAUUGUGUGAUGUUACAAAAUUUAAGAGACAUAUGCCUUGUUAUGUUUGUCCACUUGCUAAACAGUGGAGAUUGCCUUUUGAAUCGAAUAAUAGACUGUCAAAUAAUCCCUUUGAUCUCAUACAUUGUGAUGUGUGGGGACCUUACCAUGUUACUUCACACUCAGGAUACAAUUAUUUCUUGAUAUUGGUGGAUGAUUGUUCAAGGUUUACAUGGGUCUAUUUGUUGAAGCACAAAUCAGAUGCCAAGAUUGUUAUUUCCAGAUUUUUCAACAUGAUUGAUACCCAAUUCAAUGCAAAAAUAAAGACAUUCAGAUUUGACAAUGCUUAUGAAUUAGCCUUUAUAGUUUAUUUUGCUGAAAAUGGAGUAAUGCAUCAGUUUUGUUGUGUGGAUAGACCACAACAAAACUCCGUCGUUGAGCGCAAACAUCAACAUUUGUUAAAUGUGGCUAGGUCUCUGUACUUCUAAUCACGAAUCCCCAUCAGUUUCUGGUCUAAAUGUGUUUUGACAGCCACAUUCUUGAUAAAUAGAACUCCGUCUUCUGUGUUGAAGCACAAAAUGCCAUAUGAAGUUCUAUAUGGAAGACCUGUAGAUUAUUCCUCACUUAAAGUUUUUAGAUGUCUAGCUUUUGCAUCCAAUCUAACUACACAAAGAAAUAAAUUCCAGCCACGAGCUAGGCUAUGUGUGUUCUUGGGAUAUCCAUCUGGAGUUAAAGGUUACAAACUCUAUGAUGUUGAGUCAAAACAUUUCUUUGUAUCACAUGAUGUUGUGUUUCACGAAAAAAUCUUUCCUUUUCAUACAGUUAUGGCAAAUGAUCAACUGAUACAUCCGUUCCCUGACUUAGUCUUACCAAAUCCUUUUUUACACCUUCAUCAAGACUCACAUGCAUCCUCAACUCAGUAUAACUUACCUCCUAUUCCUUCAGCUAAAAGUCAUAAUUUGCAUCAAGAGUUAUUCUCUACUUCACCAUCCCUUGAUACAAUGUCUGCACCUGACAGUCCUGAUAAAAAUGGUAUUCCACAUACUAACAUUAGUCACACAUGUCAACCUACUACUAUCACUAAUUUGAGACGUUCACAAAGAGCUGCUAGACCACCACAAUACCUUAGAGAUUUUCAUUGCAACUCCUUUCUCAACAAGAUAACUCCCAUCUUCAUUCACUCGAUCAUAUUAGCCAAUUUAUUUCCUAUAAUCAUUUAUCCCAAAACCACCGGCAAUUUGUAUUGAACGUGUACUCUCAAUUUGAGCCUCAACUCUUUCACCAGGCGGUUAAAUAUGCACAAUGGCGUGAAGCCAUGAAAGCUGAAUUGGAGGCUAUGGAAGCCAAUCACACUUGGUCAGUAGUUCCUUUACCAGUUGGUAAACAUGUUGUUGGAUGCAGGUGGAUCUUCAAGGUAAAACAUAAUUCUAAUGGGUCUAUUAAAAGGCACAAAGCAAGUCUUAUAGCUAAAGUUUAUACACAACAAGAGGGCCUUGAGUACUUUGAUACUUUUUUCCCAGUAGCAAAGAUUGUCACUGUCAAAGUAUUGUUAGCUCUUGUAGCCUCUCAAUGGUGGCACUUGUUCCAAAUGGAUGUAAAUAACGCCUUCUUGAACGGUGAUACGUUCAAUAAAGUUUACAUGGAUCUCCCGCCUAGUUAUGAGGUUCUCAAUGCUGUCAAACAAGGGGAGAAACUGGUUUGCAAAUUGCGAAAGUUAAUUUAUGGCCUCAAGCAAGUGUCAAGGCUGUGGAAUUCUAAAUUAACCCAGGCACUGGUCCACUGUGGUUUCAAUCAAUCAAAGGCUGAUUAUUCCCUAUUCACUAAAGGUUCUGGGAAUGACUUUGUGGCAUUUCUUGUGUAUAUAGAUGACAUUGUCAUCACUGGACCAAACAUUCAAGUCAUUGAUUCUUUAAAGAAGUUCUCAAAUUCUCAGUUCAAACUCAAGGAUUUAAGGAAGUUGAAGUACUUCUUGGGCAUAGAAGUGGCUCGUUCUAACUCUGAGAUUGUCAUAUCACAAAGAAAUUAUGCCCUAGAGUUGCUUGAGGAUUCAGAUUACCUGGACUGCAAAUUAACAAAUACUCCUAUGGAUCCAAAGGUUUCCUCAAGUAUUCAUGACGGAGACCUUCUGCCCGAUGCAUUUUCUUAUCGCAGGUUGGUUGGAAAAUAGAUUUACCUGACAAUAUCACGACCAGAUAUUAUUUUUGUUGUCUACAAACUGAGCCAAUUUUUGGCAUAGCCUCCACUAUCUCAUCUCAAGGCAGCUCACCAUCUUCUUCGGUAUUUAGAGGGUAGUCCAGGUCUGGGACUAUUCUUUCUGUUCACAAAAUAUUUUCUUUCAAUUUAAAUCACUACAAGUGUAUGGUUCAUUAACAAGUAAUAAAGUAGAUCAAUUGAGUCCGAAUAUCGUCCCACAGAGAUUGAUUAGUUUAAUUUUAUCUAACUUGGCCUUAACCGAAACUGAUUUGUCAAACGGGAAUUGUAAUAACUUAAAUUAACCUUACUUGGACUAAAUAUGCAAAUAUGUAUGAUUUGAAUGAACUAAAAUGCGAAGUGAAUGUGUUGAUUGCAAGUUGGUGUACUCAAUCGAUGAAUAUAAAAGUGCACUAGGAUCAUGAAUCCCCAAGCAAUGCUUACUUACACACUUUGACAACACGAUGACAUUUUGAAGAAUCAAUACUCCUAAAUCUAUCCAACACUCUCUUUCGAGAUGAAUUGAACCUAUUCUCAUACACCACCAGCCUAUAUCUCUAUGACGGAUGCAAAUAUAUGAGAAUACUUGUAGUUUUGUGAGUACUUAAAGAUUCACGCAAAGCAUAGGGGUAUAUUUCUAUCCCCCUAUCGAUUCUUACGAUGACUUAUACCUUGUCGAAUUUAUUCGUCUUUUUUCGAAUAGAUGAAACAAACCACCAAAACUCACAUAAUUACGAGCUCAUAAUCAUGGAAGCAAUUAAAUGCAUAUAAAUCAUUCAAAACAAUUAAUACGUGUUUUAGUGUCAAAAUACGGAACAAUGAAUUAAAUAUCACAUUACAAGAUUCACUGAUCUCCUAGUAUAGAUUUUUCUAGCCUAACAUGAUGGGAAGAAAAACAUAACAACAAGAAUCAAGAAAAGACAUCACCCAAUCGCCCUUUGAUUUGAAAUCUUGAAUCUUGGAAUGAAUCCUCUCGUUCUUGCCUUCUUUUUGCUCUUCAAAUCCUCCCAAAAUAAUGUAUAAUACGUGGUGUCUGUUUUUGGACGUCCCUAGCGCUUUAAAAGACUCCCAAGAUUUGUUUCCAUAAGAGUUUUAAUCAGAAAAGGAAAUCAGAAAAUUUUCGCCGCGAUUGGCCUGGGCGACAUUUUCUUCUCGGUAAUAAGAAAAACUAUGGGGCGAUUGCUCGAUUUUUAAAGUUGGGCUGUUGCCCAGGCAAAAUUUCUUCCAUAUGUUGCAUUUUAGCUCCCGAAAUCGAUUUUUUAUUCUUUCAAGCCCUUUCUCUUACAAUUUCAACUCUUUGACUUUCAUAUGCAUCCAAUUGAACCCACAAUAUUUUUAAUCUUCAUUUUGUGAACCGAAUCAACUAUUAAAAUAUUGCAAUUUAGUCCUCAUACUUUGAAUUUUCUUCCUUUUUAGCUCUUUUUCAUUUCUUUUCUCUUGAAUUCCAUCACAUCCAUCAAUAUAGUCCUACAAAACAUAAUUACAUAGAAUUAAGCCAUAAUUCAAACUCUUUGAUCAUAAUUAAGUAAUGUUAAUAAACUAAAUAAGUGUGUAAAAACACACUUAUCACUUUCCUUCAUCAUCUGACCCACAUUCACUUGUCAAGCUUUGGGCCUUUUUAGAUGCAGGCUAGGGAACUUGUCUUGACACAAGAAAAUCAACUACUAGUUUUUGCAUUUUCCUUGGAGACUCUUUAAUAUCUUGGAAAGCUAAGCGACGAUCCACUGUUUCUCGAUCUUCAGCUGAAGCAGAAUAUAGGGCUCUAGCUACCACCAUCAGUAAAGUCAUCUGGAUCAACCAAUUGCUCAAGGAUUUUCAGACAUGCGCUAUCUCUCCAGGUGCCUUAUUUUGUGAUAACCAAGCUGCCAUUCAAAUAGCCACAAAUCCAAUUUUUCUUGAACGAACAAAACUCAUUGAAAUCGAUUGCCACUUCAUUCGGGGUAAAGUUGCAACUGGAAUUAUUAAGCUCCUUCCAAUCCGAUCUCAACAUCAACUAGCUGACGCAUUUACUAAGCCACUUUCUGCAUCUGUCCUUCUCCCUUUAAUGUUCAAGAUGUCUGUAAAGAACAUUUAUCAUACAUCUUGAGGGGGAGUAUUAUAAUUAAUUGUAGGCAUUGUAUGUAAUUGCACUCAUCUUAGUUUCAUUUCAGUUCGUUAGUUGGCCAGCUAUGUCCAGCCGUGUUUUCUUUCUUUCAUUUUUGGCACCAAGCUCCAUUGCUAUUUAUGUAUCUCAGUUGAUUGAACGACCAAUAGAGUUUCAAUUCAUUUUCUCUCUGUAAAUUUAAUAUAUUUUCUACAUUAAAUCAUAAAUUUCACGAAAUAAAUUGUCUCCUGUAUCCACCGUCUACAUUCAAGCCCAGGAUGAUGGUAUGUACACACACAGUUGACAUGCAAGAAAUGGAAAUCUAAAAAAGCCCAAGGACCUUCUUAUAUGUAUAUUUGCUCUCUCAAUAUUGUUCCUUAUCAGAAAAAGGUAGUCAUUGAGAUCCCCCCCCCCGAAUGGCCAAAACUCUAUUGGUCAAGGAGGCGUCAUUGAAAUGUUGUUGAAUCAUCUGUUGUGUGGACAAAGAGUCCAACCAAGCUAUGAGGAUUAGAAUAAAGGCCAAGAAGAUCGUGGUGAGCAUCUCGGGUAAGUUAAAUCUUUAUACGACUAAUAUAAACCGUUUCUUUGGUAUUGUGUACUAUACAUCAGUAUGUCUAGGAUACGAAACAAGAUUUUAGUUCUUUAUUUUCCUUUCUUCAAUACUUUCUAGAAUAAUGCUAUCUAUGUAUGACCACUAGUGGAUGUGAUGCAUUUUCACUCACAAAUUGGAUAGUAUGGCAAACAAUUUCACUGAUAUUAGGAUCCAUUAAGACUUAAAGUUGCAUCUUAAAAGGUCAAACUUGGUAAGAGAGGUAACCCAAGUCUUUAUAUGUUGGUCUAUAUGUCAUCAAUUUUUGAUGUGUAAUUUAUUCCUUAACAUAUAUCCGAAAGAAGGUGGUUUGUUUGAACAAACCAAUCUGAAAAUUUAUGUACUCUUUUUGGGUCUUAAUCAAAUCAAAUUGCUUCUCAGAGUUUAAUAGACUCUGAUACCAUAUUAAUAUUUAGGGUUCUAUCUUAAAAUGUCGACUUUGGUUAAAAGAGUAGCUCAAGUUUUUAUAUGUUGGCCUAUAUUUCUACUAUUAUUCGAUGUGGAUAAGGAUCUUGAAGCUGCAAAAAACAUUUUAUUCGAUGGACGUUGGAUUUACCAUUAAAAUCUUCCCUACUCUCAUGAACAUUAUUUGUAGGAGCUGAGUCGGUGUCAAUGGAGGGAAGCGGGAACAUUCUAACAGUGAUUGGUGAAGAAAUCGACUCGGUGAGUCUUGUCCAAUGCCUCUGGAAAAAGGUGUGUUUUGCUAAUGUAGUGAGCGUACCAAACUGAGAGGGUUGAAACUAAGCAACCGAAACUUGAGAACACGAAUCCGGCUACCUGUGUCUGUGCCUCUUCGAUGCUGUAAUCACUCGCCUCACUGGAAAAUAUUGGAAAUCAGGGAACCCACAUCCUCCUGCUUCAACUUUUGAAUGCUUCUUAUGUUAAGUUAUCAAACAAGAAAGAAAAAAUGAAUCUUUUGUUGUGAAGAAAAUUAAGCAACAUUAAUUCACAAUAGAUUUUGUUGCAAAUUCUGUUUGAGAUAAUGUUACAAGUGGAACAUUGUAGUAUAAUUUCAAGAGAUCAGAAGUAUAAGUUGAGAGAAAACUUUGAUUUCAUUUCUUGGAUCGGAUAGAUAGCAUUACUCUUAUUGAAUGGAGGUUUGCAAGAGUAUAAUGUGUAAUUUUAGCUUCCAUGAAGAGCCGUAGAAAGCUCAUUUUCUAGUUGUCAGAUGUCUCCAGUGAUUGAGUGUUAUUGGACUGAACUGAUAGAUUCAUGUUUGAACUGGACUCAUUGAGUCUUAUUUGAUUUGUGUUUAAGCAUCGAAAAGACAGAAAAAGAUUUUUAUCUUUUUAUACAGAAUUGUAUCUCUGAUAAAACUUAGUCACGAAACUUUAGUUAUCGGACAACAAAAACUCUUGUACCUCGAGAUAUUUUUAGUUUAUUUUGAACAUAAACAAGUAGCUCUCAUUCUAUCAAAUUGUCGAGAACGUACAAAGAAAUAAGUGAAGGAAUCAAAAUCAACCCAUUGAUGAGAAAAUGCAUGAUUAGCGAGACAAUGGACCACAAAAUGAUUCCAUAAUCGUAUCCCAAGAAUAUGCGAGUUGCGAGCGUUAUUAUAAUAAAAGGGCAAAAUGGUCAUUUAAUCAUGAUUAAUUAUUCGAUGUUCGACAGGGUAAUAUAUAUAUAUAUAUAUAUAUAUAUAUAUAUAUAUAUAUAUAUUUUUUGAUGAUAAGUCAGAAGAAUAUAAAUUAACUCCCUGCAAAUAGGGCUAGUUUUUGAUUGGCAUGAUUGGAUGUAGUUAUUGUAGUUUCAAUUAUAUAAGUAUAGCUUCAGUAAAAGUUUUGAGCUUAAUUACAUUAGUAAUAAAAGUUCUUAGACCACUUGUAAAAAGGUCCAAAACAGAACUUGCAGUUUAAUGAAAUUGGGGAACAAGGUCCUAGCCUUAUUUGUAGGGCUAAGUGGAUGCCUAUGGCAUAAGUGAAUACCCUAGUCGUCCAAUACACAUAAAGAGAUCGAUUUUUAUUGUUUGAUUCCUCAACUUGAUUCUUGAUUUGGCUUUCAGGUUUCCACUCAUUAAUUGCUGUUCAUACUUCUGGAGAAUACCAAAGAAGACAUGGGGUUGAAAGCUGGAAGAUUGAAUAUCAAUAUUUAAAGAAAAAAAUUGGAGCAGCUUCUAAAGAAUUCAGAUCUAAGUGUGAUUCCACA